GAUGAACGCUGGCGGCGUGCCUAAUACAUGCAAGUCGAGCGAACAGACGAGGAGCUUGCUCCUCUGAUGUUAGCGGCGGACGGGUGAGUAACACGUGGAUAACCUACCUAUAAGACUGGGAUAACUUCGGGAAACCGGAGCUAAUACCGGAUAACAUGUUGAACCGCAUGGUUCAACAGUGAAAGACGGUCUUGCUGUCACUUAUAGAUGGAUCCGCGCCGCAUUAGCUAGUUGGUAAGGUAACGGCUUACCAAGGCAACGAUGCGUAGCCGACCUGAGAGGGUGAUCGGCCACACUGGAACUGAGACACGGUCCAGACUCCUACGGGAGGCAGCAGUAGGGAAUCUUCCGCAAUGGGCGAAAGCCUGACGGAGCAACGCCGCGUGGGUGAAGAAGGUCUUCGGAUCGUAAAACUCUGUUAUUAGGGAAGAACAAAUGUGUAAGUAACUAUGCACGUCUUGACGGUACCUAAUCAGAAAGCCACGGCUAACUACGUG
rnacentral:rRNA from 1 species